rnacentral:rRNA from 1 species
CGUAGGUGACCUGCGGAGGAUCAUUACCGAGUGAGGGCCCUCUGGGUCCAACCUCCCACCCGUGUUUAUUUUACCUUGUUGCUUCGGCGAGCCUGCCUUUUGGCUGCCGGGGGACAUCUGUCCCCGGGUCCGCGCUCGCCGAAGACACCUUAGAACUCUGUCUGAAGAUUGUAGUCUGAGAUUAAAUAUAAAUUAUUUAAAACUUUCAACAACGGAUCUCUUGGUUCCGGCAUCGAUGAAGAACGCAGCGAAAUGCGAUACGUAAUGUGAAUUGCAGAAUUCAGUGAAUCAUCGAGUCUUUGAACGCACAUUGCGCCCUCUGGUAUUCCGGAGGGCAUGCCUGUCCGAGCGUCAUUGCUGCCCUCAAGCACGGCUUGUGUGUUGGGCUCCGUCCUCCUUCCGGGGGACGGGCCCGAAAGGCAGCGGCGGCACCGCGUCCGGUCCUCAAGCGUAUGGGGCUUUGUCACCCGCUUUGUAGGACUGGCCGGCGCCUGCCGAUCAACCAAACUUUUUUCCAGGUUGACCUCGGAUCAGGUAGGGAUACCCGCUGAACUUAAGCAUAUCAAUAAGCGGAGGAAAAGAAACCAACAGGGAUUGCCCCAGUAACGGCGAGUGAAGCGGCAAGAGCUCAAAUUUGAAAGCUGGCUCCUUCGGGGUCCGCAUUGUAAUUUGCAGAGGAUGCUUCGGGAGCGGUCCCCAUCUAAGUGCCCUGGAACGGGACGUCAUAGAGGGUGAGAAUCCCGUAUGGGAUGGGGUGUCCGCGCCCGUGUGAAGCUCCUUCGACGAGUCGAGUUGUUUGGGAAUGCAGCUCUAAAUGGGUGGUAAAUUUCAUCUAAAGCUAAAUAUUGGCCGGAGACCGAUAGCGCACAAGUAGAGUGAUCGAAAGAUGAAAAGCACUUUGAAAAGAGAGUUAAAAAGCACGUGAAAUUGUUGAAAGGGAAGCGCUUGCGACCAGACUCGCUCGCGGGGUUCAGCCGGCAUUCGUGCCGGUGUACUUCCCCGCGAGCGGGCCAGCGUCGGUUUGGGCGGUCGGUCAAAGGCCUCUGGAAGGUAACGCCCCCUCGGGGGCGUCUUAUAGCCAGGGGUGCAAUGCGGCCUGCCCGGACCGAGGAACGCGCUCGGCUCGACGC